UCUACGGCCAUACCACCCUGAACGUGCCCAUCUCACCUGCUCUUGGAAGCUAAGCAGGGUUGGGCGUAGUUAGUACUUGGAUGGCAGAUUGAAGACAGCUGCUAAUUCGAAGCAUGUGUGAUGGAC
rnacentral:rRNA from 1 species